rnacentral:rRNA from 1 species
GACGAACGCUGGCGGCGUGCCUAAUACAUGCAAGUCGAACGAGAGCGACCGGUGCUUGCUCUGGUCAAUUUAGUGGCGAACGGGUGAGUAACACGUGGGUAACCUGCCUAUCAGAGGGGGAUAACAUCCGGAAACGGAAGCUAAUACCGCAUAGGACUUUGAGCCGCAUGGCUCGAAGAGGAAAGGCGGUGCUAGUUUCUGUUGUAGGUUGGUCCCGCGGUGCAUUAGCUAGUUGGUAAGGUAACGGCUCACCAAGGCCAUGAUGCAUAGCCGACCUGAGAGGGUGAUCGGCCACAUUGGAACUGAGACACGGCCCAGACUCCUACGGGAGGCAGCAGUAGGGAAUCUUCCGCAAUGGGCGCAAGUCUGACGGAGCAACGCCGCGUGAGUGAUGAAGGUUUUCGGAUCGUAAAACUCUGUUAUUAGGGAAGAACAAGUGCUAGAGUAACUGUGAGCACCUUGACGGUAUCUAACCAGAAAGCCACGGCUAACUACGUG